AAGGUACGAAGUUCAGAUGAAAGCUGCUAACUUAUCAUCUUAGUGGUUAAAUUCCAUUUAUAUCUUU
rnacentral:tRNA from 1 species